GUCCACGCUGUAAACGAUGGAUGCUAGGUGUUGGGGGUAUUGACCCCUCCAGUGCCGCAGUUAACGCAUUAAGCAUCCCGCCUGGGGAGUACGGCCGCAAGGCUAAAACUCAAAGGAAUUGACGGGGGCCCGCACAAGCGGUGGAGCAUGUGGUUUAAUUCGACGCAACGCGAAUAACCUUACCUGGGUUAAAUCCGCCGGAAGUCCGCAGAGAUGUGGAUGUGCCCUUCGGGGAGCCGGUGAGAAGGUGCUGCAUGGCUGUCGU
rnacentral:rRNA from 1 species